UUGCGACCCCAGAUCAUACGGGAUUACCAGCUGAGUUUAAGCAUAUCAAUAAGCGGAGGA
rnacentral:rRNA from 1 species